GACGAACGCUGGCGGCGUGCCUAAUACAUGCAAGUCGAACGCAGUGGGGACGGGUGAGUAACACGUGGGUAACCUCCCAUCAGAGGGGAUAACACUUGGAAACAGGUGCUAAACCGAUACUGAUGGAUGGACCCGCGGUGCAUUAGCUAGUUGGUGAGGUAACGGCUCACCAAGGCCACGAUGCAUAGCGGACCGGGAAGGGUGAUAGGCCAAACUGGGACUGGGACACGGCCCAGACUCCUAAGGGAGGCAGCAGUAGGGAAUAUGUGGAAAGGGACGAAAGUUUGACCGAGCAACGCCGCGGGAGGUAAGAAGGUUUUCGGAUCGGAAAACUCUGUUGUUAGAGAAGCGGUAUCUAACCAGAAAGCCACGGCUAACUACGUGCCAGCCGCCGCGGUAAUAC
rnacentral:rRNA from 1 species